rnacentral:tRNA from 1 species
UGUUCUGUGGCGGAGUUGGUUAACGCGCCCUGUCUAGCGAACUUGGGGAGACGUGGGUUCAAAUCCCACCAUAACUA